UCGGACAUUGAUAGUCCGUGCUGAUGAGCUAUCGAAAAUUGAUGCGUGAAAAAAAAGUUGAAACCAGACUGAUGCUGAGUGAAAUCUCUUUCAGGGACAAACUGUGAAAUGUGCCAAAACCACAAAAAGCUUGGGUGCGUAUGCCAAGAGCCAAUCUACUGGUGGAAUGUUUGGCAUCAGGCUUUGUGGUUUUGGUAAAAUACCAGCGACGUGCUUCACCAGAAAAGAGUAUAUAAGCCUGGUCGAGAAAACGAUCAUUUGGAAUUCGUUCUGCUGCUACCAGUUCGUUAACUUGAAACACAAAGUCAGCAACAUCCAUCCCUUGAGGAUCACCGCUGAAUUGAAUUCCCCAUCUAUCUAACCGGUAGUGUUGGAACCGCUCUUCCCUUCGACGAUUCUGAGGGGACCUUACCGAUUGAUUCUCAGACUGCGCGUCAGAGCUGGAUUCUGUAGACAAUAUGCUACUUAAGGAAUCCAUAGACGAACUACUUUUCGACGAGGAACUAAAAAUCGGCACUCAACGAAAAAUGCAGCAAUAUGGUGUAAUAACCGCUUCUUAAGCAGAAAAUUCAAAUAUAAAAAUAUAAUCAAAAUUCAAAAUUGUUUUCCCAUAAAUCCCUUCACCAAAAUAUCCCAGAAACUCAAAAUACUAGAUACUUAAAAUUCAAAGAAAAAAAAUCAAUAAUCUAAAGUGCUCGAAUCCAAUCUAACCCACUAAAUUAAACCUAAUAAUCCUAUUAAUCUACAUUACCAAAAAAAAACAAAUCGGAGAAAAACAAAUAUCAACCAAAAAUUUAAAAAUUCAAUUUUGAACAGGGCAAGGUUUCUUUAAAGUUGGGCGCCAAUGUAAGGGGGAUUCUGGUAGGGCCUCUAAAUACCCGGCUUAUGCGCCAGACGACGAAGUCGUCUGCCGGGAUUACAAAUCAGUUAGCCCUGGCUAGCUUUAAUUCCUAACCCUACCGCAGAAUCCGCCUCCAGUUCAUCUCCCACUCCAAAGCUCCCAAUACCUAUUCCUACCAGUCUUUACGAAUAUUCCCAAAACUUUCCAAAAUAAUGAAAUUCAAAUUAUCUUGCUUUAAAACAGUCUACAGAAACUUUUUAUUUAAACCCUUUUAUUUUUAAUUGCAAAUUUCGUCGACUUUAAUAUCGUUUCAGAGUUUAUUUUCCUGUUUCUCUCCUAUCGCUAUCCUACCUUCGUGACGUCAUCUAACCUUGGUUUCUUAAUUUCUCCCGAACUGUGCGGGGCCUAAUCUCUCUCUCACUUCUACCCUACUUUACAAUUUCCAAUUCCCUACUCUUAACGCGCACUAUGAAAGUUCGUAUGUAUGGUUGUGGUUGGUCGUACUUACAGGCACUGGAACGGUUACCUGGUUCGCACUCGAGUGGUGAAUAUGCCAAUGGUUUCGGCUCACCGUCGGGUGCUGAUGGAUUCGCUGCCCACCGGCGAUGCUGGUUCGUUGCUACGAUGUGCGACGAGGCGUUCGUUGUAGGCCACCCGGUGGGUGGGUGGUAAAUUGCACCGUAUCGAUGCUCGACGGACGAUGCUGUGUUCACUGUGGGCCACCAGUGGGUGGUGGCAAAGCGUGCUGCUUCGGUUCGCCCACGGACGAUUUGUACGGCGGUCGAUGCGGGCCACCAAUGGAUAGUGGCGAAGCGUACUGCUUUGGUUUCACUGUUGCUGAUGCUGCGGUUGGAUGCUUUCGAGCAGUGCGAAGCGGAACUGAUGCUGUUCGCUGCGGCGGGAACGGCGUUUGACAGCCGGUGCACUGCGGGCGGUGAUGGCGUGCACCAAGGAUUGCACACGUGGUCGCACGACGAGGACGCGGUACAGGGUCGCUUCUGGGCUGUUAGCUGCGUGAGUAGCAGGCGAAUCUCUCUGGCGUUGGGGAAAAUCUUUCCCUUUGAACACGACUCGCUUUCGUGGCAACCGGUAAUGGCGGGUGGUGCCGCGAGGCCGAGAUUUUUAUUGCAGCCAACGCACUCCAGAUGUGCCAAUAGUAGCACGCAGCCACGAGGCGAUUGUCACAUCCGGGGGAUUGCCAAGAAUACCCGAGGUCACUGCACUCACCAGAAAUAGCAGAAUUAGUCCGUCGCCGCCCUGCUGGGUGAAAUUGCGUUGCACUCCUGUACUUAGUAGGUCCUUAUACCAGCGAAUAAACAAUCGGAAAACCCAACGAUGUUGACCACCAACGUGGCCGCUGUGGAACAACCAAAAUUUUAGAAUACGAACUUUCAAAUAUUUUCUCCCACUUUACCUGAGUAUUCUCGAUUCCUAAACACUUUAUUUUUUUUAUUCUUCUUUAUUUUCAACUCAUUC